AUGAUGCUCCCCCAGCAGAUCACAGCAAAGUACACUGUACUCGCCACAACUGACCAAAUAUCUCCAUCAUUCUGCUUUUCUAUACAGCCUCAGUGUUUGUCUUCCAGUUCAGCCUGUGGUCGAUGUGGAUGGUCAGCUUCUUCUACCACAUUAACAUCUGAGGAUAGACACAGUUCAGAGCCGUCACUGAAGCUGUCAGACCACCAGCAGAUAUCUCCCAAUCUAUUUUCCAGCUGUGAGGAGCUCUUCCCGGAGCUCUACGCCAAAAGGCAAAUUCAUUUGCUCUUCUCACUGACACUCUGAGAUUUUGUAUCAUCGGCAUCACUCGGGUCACUCAUCCAUUUUUUUUUUUCUCUUUACAGUCCAGCCAUGUUUUGUUUUUUGGGCUACACAUCUUUCCCGAUUUGUGAAUUCACCCUGAGAACAGAUCAUACAUUCGGCACACAGAAGCAACGAGAUGCUGAAAUUUGAGCGACACGACUUCAAUUUUUAAUUCAUGAAAUCCUUUUUAUGUGGUUGAUUUCCUGGUAUGAUGCCAAAAAUGAAGAUGCUGGAAAAUGUUCAUUAAGCCUCAUGACUUUUUUAAAAAAAAAUGUAAAAGCACUUGUGUGGAUGCAGGCUUGCUUAUUUAUUUUUUUUAUUUUUAUAGAUUUGAAGACAUUAGAAGUGAAUCCAGUUUGUUACAGUGGGUCCUCAGUCACAACUGGGGUUGGGGUGGUUGAAGCAAAGUUCUCAUAUUAUUUCAUGUGUCUAAUUUAUCAUACCUUUUAACACACCAGUGUGAAACACAUCAACAAAUACAAAUUCGGAGAGAUGCUGUAUUCUGAAGGCUGCCCUUUUUUCAUAGGAGUUUGUGCAUCCCUCUUUAUUUGUUUUUGGGGUGGGGGCAGUGAUGUAGGUGCCACCAAUUAUGAUUAAAUGUCUGUUGUCACAGCUGAUGACACGCACAUGACUAACAUCAGUGUGUUUGAGUUUUUUACAUCCUGUUAAGAGACUACACUAAACUCCACUUAUUAUCUGGCAUCUAUUGGACAUACUAGGGCAUUUUGCUUUAUGUGUAUGCAUGUACAUCUGUGUGUCAGGUCCUCUUGUGUUUUGCAGGGAGUUAUAUUAUAUACUGUGCCUGUUUGAAACUGUCCGACCGCCUAAUAGCACAGAUCUCCCCUCUGAUUGCAUUUACGUUAGCCUAACUGUUGCUCCACCCUCUGAAAGUCGACAAAGAAGGUAUGAGAUAACUCCUGCUGUAGAGUGUGCUUCACUAGUGCACAUCCAGUAAGGUAAAACUACGCUAAUAUCAGUAUGCCUUUAAAAAAAAUAAAAUAUGAAAAAGUGGCAGGGGAGCCCCAAUUAACGCCCACCUCUGUUUCUAACCUGUAGGUCGAGGGUUGAGGGCUGACCGUUGACUGGAGGGCUCCGAGUCAGACAGCAUGUGGGCUAACUUUACAGUCACUGUGUUAGAGCAGUGCGCUGUCCGCGGUGCUGAAACCUGCUGAUGAACGCGGGGAUUCGCUUUCAGCACCAGUGCAAACGGGGAUUUUCUUUAAAUAAAUAAUAUAUAUAUAUAUAUUAUUUCAAGAUAUCCUGACUAAUGAUGAUGAUGUGAGAAUGGGGAAAUGGCGCAGACAGUGAUGUAGCAGGGUGAGGACGAGUGCGGCUGGCCUGCUAGAGAGUGGAGGGGAAAGGCGUUUCGGAGUUGUUUUAUUGUGUCUGCGAGGGCUGGAGUGGAAUAAAGAAAAGAGAGAGGAAAAAACCGAGCCGUUUGCAACACGUGAAAGCAGCACACGUCUCUUACAUGACUUCAAUAAGGUCGCUGAUUCUUAGAUGAUGGUGACAGUGUGGUGAUCUGCAGUUAAACAAAUUUGUCAGGUUUCUUCCCUUUUUUUUGUUAAGGGGGGGCAGAAGAUCGGACUAUGCUACUCUCGAGUCGUGGUGUUAUUCCCGCCCGCUCCACAGCCCCAUACCUCGGCAAAAAGGCGAUGUUUGACUUCAAAUGCCAUAUUUAGGAAAAAUGCUCGGUCGCUUUGAGUGACUGGGGCGAGGACGAAUGGCGUCUUGUGAUCUGGGAAGAGACGCUCGAGCUCAGUGAGGAACGCCUCGGAGCCAAUAGCAUUGGAGGGCUUGUGCACGCAUAAGCGGUGGAUGGAGCUUCUCCGGGUAUACUUCCGCGUCCAAUGCAUGUUCAUGUGUAGGUUGAAUGGAUGAAACGGGGAGUGCGGAGAGGUAUAGGCAUGCUGUGAUACGGCCCUAUAUAUUUGCCGGCAGGACUAUCUUCCUUUUAAAGAGAACCUCCUCCGUGCGUUGGCUUCCACUCAGUGAUGUCGCGUAUUUGUGUGGCGCACCUGUAAAGAGCGAGACAGGCAGAAGCCGGCUUUUUUAAUUAUUUGAUUCCUUUUCUUUCUUCUGUUAUCUUUUUUUCCCUUUUGUUUCAUGCAUUUGCUGAAAGGAACUCAUUUCUGUGUUUUGAUUUAAUAAAUAUUUAAUUUCCCUCAUUUUAUCUUGUUUGUGU
ensembl:lncRNA